GAUGAACGCUGGCGGCGUGCCUAAUACAUGCAAGUCGAGCGAACAGAUGAGGAGCUUGCUCCUCUGACGUUAGCGGCGGACGGGUGAGUAACAUGUGUAUAACCUACCUUUAAGACUGGGAUAACUCCGGGAAACCGGGGCUACUACCGGAUAAUAUAUUAAACGCCUUGGUUCAAUAGUGAAAGACGUUUUUGCUUUGACUUAUAGUCGAAUCCUCGCCGCAUUAGCUAGUUGUUAAGGAAAAGGCUUACCAAGGCAACGAUGCGUAGCCAACCUGAGAGGGUGAUCGGCCACACUGGAACUGAGACACGGUCCAGACUCCUACGGGAGGAAGCAGUAGGGAAUCUUCCGCAAUGGGCGAAUGCGUGACGGAGCAACGCCGCGUGAGUGAUGAAGGUCUUCGGAUCGUAAAACUCUGUUAUUAGGGAAGAACAAAUGUGUAAGUAACUAUGCACGUCUUGACGGUACCUAAUCAGAAAGCCACGGCUAACUACGUG
rnacentral:rRNA from 1 species